GUAGCAUAGCCUGGACCUGCUGCAGAGCCCUCUCUUGCUUUGAGCCUCACUUAAGACUAGCAUGUUUCCUUACAAGUCAUUGAAUGGGCAAGAGCAGUAUCCCCCAGUGUUGGAGUAUGCGUCCUUCAAUUCGGACUGGUCUACCAAGCACUGGGGAUUUUUCCUUAGUGGUAGGAAUUGCACAGUACAAUAACUUUACUUUAUUUUGGAGGGGAUUGAUAUUAUUUGCAUGCAUGUGCCCACCCAAAUCUCAUGUCAAAUUGUAAUCUCUAAUGUUGGAGGUGGGGCCUGGUGGGAAGUGACUGGAUUGUGGGGGCGUAUUUCUCAUGAGUGGUUUAGCACUAUCCCCUUGAAUAAAGGUCUUGGCAGAUAUAAUUAAAUAAAGGAUCUCAAGAUACGAUCAUCUUGGAUUAGGGUAGGCCCUAAAUCCAAUGAUAAAUUUCCUUAUAAGAGAAGAGAGAGGAAUACAUACAGGAGAGGACAGAGAUUGGAGUGAUGUGUCUACAAGCCAAGAAAUGCCAAAGACAGCCGGCAGCCACCAGGAGAGGAAGGACUCUUCCCUAGAGCCUCCAGAGGCAGCCUACUGACCCCUUGACUUCAGACCACUGGCCUCUAGAACUGUGAGAGAAUAAAUUUCUGUUGUUUUAAGUCAUUAAGUUUGUGGUAAUUUAGGAACUGCAAUUCAGCCACCACUUCGUUGAUCCUUUCGUCCAUCAUCUGCAGUGAGAGCUCUGGCAUCUCAGCUUCAUUUAAUGAGGGCCAAUGUGAGCUUUUUCCAAGCUUCUAAGAGCCAUCCCAGCUAUGUAUUAGACCCAUCCCUGGAAGUAGAAUUAGAAUUUAAAUUUCCUUAAAGUUGCAACUCUUAUCCUUAAGUCCUUUCCUCAUAUCCUUAAGGCCAGGGCCUGGGAGCCAGCUGUCUGCCUCCCCAGCUGUGGGAGAUGAGAGUUUCUAUAAUGCUGGCAAUGGGGCUCUCAGACCCUCAUGUUUUGCUUCACAUUGUGAUUGAUGGCCCUGAGUCUGUCUUUUCCUCUUCUUAAGGCAUGAUUGGCAUUCACUGGUGGGCACCCAAUUCUACAGUCUUUAUAAGAACUCUUUUUCCCAUACCUCUCAAACAUCAAAGCUCUUGCACAGGGCAGUGCACCUUUUCCACCUGUAUCCCAUGCCCUGGGUGUAUUACAGGUAGAAUCUUAGCAACAAUCACUGCCUGCCAUUUACCACUGUACACUAAGCACCGGUGAUGGGGCUAUGAUUUCUAGCCAUCUAGGGACUUCAGAAUCCUAUCCUUCUCAUCUAUUGGUAAUUGUCUAAUAGAUCUAUUUUGCCUUAAUAUUGGUAAUUCACUAAAUGUAAAAGAACGCAGAAGAGAGGCUGAAACAUUAAACAGGCCAAGCAGCAAUGGAGAUGGGCUAGUGAGCUGGAUGGGGACGGUGGCAAGCUGGAGGGCACAUGCCUCUCUGCCUGGAGGGGCAGCCACUACAGGUUGCCUUGGGCCAAUGCAGGCCUGGUGGACCCAGAGGCUUAAGUUUUAAUUUUAUUUUACUAUAUUUUUCUUUUCCUGUUUUUAUUUGGUUUGUUUGUUUGUUUUUUGUUUUGAGACAUGAUCUCACUCUGUUGCCCAGACUGGAGUGCAGUGGUUCGAUCACAGCUUACUGCAGCAAUUGUAGUCCCUCUGGGCUCAAGCAAUCCCACGACCUUAGCCUCUGAGUAGCUGGGACUACAGGUGCGUGCCACCAUACCCAACCUUUUUUUUUUUUUUUUUUUUUUUGUAGAGAUGGAGUCUUACUAUGUUGCCCAGGCUG
rnacentral:lncRNA from 1 species